UCUCGUGUUUGAUUCCUUGGUUUUUGACUCUGCUUGGAUUUAUGAACAUUGCUCUCUGCGUGAUUUCCCUGAAUGGACUUUUCUGCCUUCACUGACUGCCUUCACGUGUUUGACCCCUGACCUCGCUGCUGUCACUGGCUGAGCUACAGCAGGUAGACACCCGUAAUUAUUAAGGUGGAGGAAAACCUCACACUAAAGUGCCUACAGGUGUUUUUAAUGCAGGGGAAUGCACACAGAAACAAAGGAAAGAUUUGUCCAAUUAUUCCUCUUAACAGCGUCGGGGGCUUGUUGCUAGGUUACAGCCAGGUAACGCACACCAUUACCACAGGAGUUGCUGAGAUGAAGAUGUUUCCAAAUAAAGACGAUUCAGUACCUUCAAG